rnacentral:rRNA from 1 species
AUACGUAGGGGGCUAGCGUUGUCCGGAUUUACUGGGCGUAAAGGGAGCGCAGGUGGCUGAGUUCGUCGAUGGUGCAAGCUCCAGGCUUAACUUGGAGAGGUCUGUCGAUACUGCUCGGCUUGAGGACGGUAGAGGAGCACGGAAUUCCUGGUGUAGUGGUGAAAUGCGUAGAUAUCAGGAGGAACACCGGUGGCGAAAGCGGUGCUCUGGGCCGUUUCUGACACUCAGGCUCGAAAGCGUGGGGAGCGAACCGGAUUAGAAACCCGAGUAGUCC